ACGUAGGGGGCAAGCGUUGCUCGGAAUUACUGGGCGUAAAGGGUGUGUAGGUGGCUGAUUAAGUUAAGGAUGAAAUCCCGAGGCUCAACUUCGGAACUGUCCUUGAUACUGGUCAGCUUGAGGCUAGUAAAGGAGAGCGGAAUUCCCGGUGGAGCUGUGGAAUGCGUAGAUAUCGGGAGGAACACCAGAGGCGUAGUCGAUUCUGUAGGCUAGUCCUGGCUCUGAGACACGGAAGCUAGGGGAGCAAACGG
rnacentral:rRNA from 1 species